rnacentral:lncRNA from 1 species
UUGGCAGAGAGGUUUGGAACUCUGUUAUUGGCAGAGAGGUUUGGAACUCUGUUAUUGGUCGAGAGGUUUGGAACUCUGUUAUUGGCAGAGAGGUUUGGAACUCUGUUAUUGGUCGAGAGGUUUGGAACUCUGUUAUUGGCAGAGAGGUUUGGAACUCUGUUAUUGGUCGAGAGGUUUGGAACUCUGUUAUUUGUCGAGAGGUUUGGAACUCUGUUAUUGGCCGAGAGGUUUGGAACUCUGUUAUUGGCCGAGAGGUUUGGAACUCUGUUAUUGGCCCGAGAGGUUUGGAACUCUGUUAUUGGUCGAGAGGUUAGGAACUCUGUUAUUGGCAGAGAGGUUUGGAACUCUGUUAUUGGCAGAGAGGUUUGGAACUCUGUUAUUG